CCCGGCUAAUAUUCAUUUCUUUUGAGUCUCAGUUUCUUAAUUUGUAAAAUAAGGAUAAUAAUUCACAGUAGUCUGGAUUAUUGUAAAUGUUACAUUACUCAGUAUAUUUGAGGGUCUCAUAUGAUAGCUGUGAUGAACUCAGGGAGUGCACAAUUGCAAAACACUUAGCUCAUACGCCCAGCACUACACAACAAAUAAACACAACAUCAAAAUGGCCCAGCUAUCUUGUCAGGUGUGAAACUCCACAUGGAUAUAAGGAACAUGGCUUGUUCUAGCCACAUAUGAUCCCUGAGCCACAGGUAGUAGCAGACCCAGAGAGAAGGGUCAUUUAGGGCUACCAUAGUCAGCCCACCCAGUGGUAGAAGCAUGUUCUCCAUGGGUCUAGAAGGAGAAAUGAGGGCCUUCCAGGUGGUGCUGGAAGGUUCAGUCCUGGAGGGUUCAGUAAACUUAUGGGAACUCUUCCCAGUUCUGCUCCUGAAACAAAUGCAUUCUUCCAUUUCUCUGUUUAAAUCCUUCCACGUUCCCUCGCACUCCAUGAUAAAGCCUGUCUCUACUGACAUGAUGUGUAUGGAUGGCCCUUUGUAGUCCAUCCUUUCUCACUUCCUUCCCAUUUGCCUCGCCAUAACCUCUCUUAUGUACUGGUGUUCUCAACUAUCUGGUUUUAUCUCUUACCUCGUUCUACAAUGUAUGCCCCACCCUUGACCACCUCUGUCCUGGGACCCUGUCCUGCCUUUCAGCCUCCCGAGAAUGACCCUAGAUUCUGCCGAAAGCCCCUCCAGGGGUAACUUCUUUUAGGGUCUUGGGGAGGAUUGUCACAUCCAUGUACAGUUUUCACCCAGCCAGUAAAAUCACUCCCGGGAGGAACUGGGCUGUGUUUCUUUUCUACUGACUGUGGAAUGUAUUUCUGAAGUGCGAGCCUGCUUCUCAAAUCUAGAUACAUAGACAUUCAGCUUGCUUUCUCCUGCUGGAGCUGGGGCUCAUGGGUGAAGCUGGGAGUGUGCGAAUAGGAACGCAUCCCUCACCUGUCUUCUGCUAUGACCUGGUCCAUGUGUGUGAUAGGCAUGCCUUAAAGUGUGGUAUUUCCAUUUUAGUGCAGUAGCCCUGGGGUAGUAACAGGAAGGUUCCCUUUGUAUUUCUGUCACCUGUAGGAGAAGAGGCCACAGCUUCCGGUCUUAGAAUGAGAAUAGAGAGACUAAGCCUGGAAAAAGCCAACAAGGAGAACCAGGCAGAUUCCCUGGGGCCCCAGGAGUGGGGCAAACAAACGUCCGUCACGUGUACCUGAAAAAAAAAAAACUGGAAGCAUAAAGAGGUGGAAUAUGUCUAAGGGCAUGGAGCUAAACAGUGUGAAGAACAGAAUGCAACCCAGGCAGCCUGGCUCCAGAAUCAAUGAAAGGAUUGGCAGUGAUUUAAAUGAAUCACAACCUCAUGAGCACUGUCCCAAACCAACCGGAACUGACAUUGACCCUGAUCCUGGCACAGAAUUUUGAGGGCUUCUUGCCCUGACAGGGGUGAAUCUGUGGUGUCUAGAUCAUUGGGAGGUUUAGGGUUCCUCCUUGGGAGAAUGACAACAUGACCACCUGGGAUACAGAGCAUGGCAAGAACUAAUUAAACAGUUUACCCACAGAGGUGGCUGUCUGGGGCAUAUCAGUUGAUAUAAGCUCUGGUCAUCCCAGUUGUUUCUACUCCACUGGGACUGUGAAGAGUUGAAAGAGCUCACCUACGCUACUUUACAUAAAGCUGCCUUGCGUUCUUUCUUUCAAGUCCAUUAAAUCCAUUUCAUAGGACGGUGUAGAAGAUGAACACACCUAUAAGAGGUCUACCAGGGUGCCUAGCUAACACAGGCUCUCUCAACACAUUUACCUCCUUGUACCCCUUCUUCUGCUUGUAACCAGGGCUGCUCACAGCUGACCAAGUGGCCUGUCUUGCAAAGACCCUGGGUUCCUAUAAGGCUGUCAGUUAUCUGCCAAGGUGACGUUAGUGCUCAGGAGAGGAGUGAAUGUCAUAUCAGGGCAUCAUCUCCCAGACUGUUGGGGACCAGGCAUACAACAGCAUAGACCAGCAAAAGAAAGGCCAGAGGCAGCAUCUGACAUACAAGGAAAUCUUUACCGCCCUCAGGCCUGUAGAACCAUUCCACCACAGUGGUGGCCUCCACCUCCUCCCUCUUCAUACAGGAGAUGCAGCGCAGCUUCAUGGGAUUGCCCUGCACGGCUUCCGUCUCCGAGGGUACUUCCACACACACAGGGAAGCAGACUCUGACUGGAGAGAGGAUGGGUGACCGGAAGGGGACAGCCAGAGUGGGCAUUGGGGAAUGAGGGGAGAGGGAGGAGAGACAGAG